GGAGACCCUGUGUCACUAAGAAGAUGGGCAGUGCCUGAGGAGUCACUGGUGGUGUCCUCUGGCCUCCACAUGCACACACCUGUACACAAGUGUUUUCGCUCACAGUGAGCCUGCCCUGUGUGAGCUUCAAGGGAGCUAGCUGCCCAGUUCCCAGCGUCCCACUGGGAAUGGGAGGGAGUGAUCAGACUUGUGAGCAUUGCACUUCCCUCCUCUGGGCCCACUCUAGGAGCCGGCUCCUGACUCACCCUGCACUGUGCUCUGAAUGCUGGUGUAGUGUGCGUAUCUGGCGGGCAAUAGUGGUGGGGACCCCUGUAUAACCGCCAGCUUUUCAUGGCUGAGGACAUCUAGAGAAGAGACCUAAGGGGCCUCAACAGGUUAAGCCAGGAAAAGUCUUUCCUUAUGCUUAGGUGUGCAGACACCCUGUAAUAUUCAUGAAAUAUGUGUGCUCAAAGGAACCAGAUCCCCCCAGAAGCCAACCUUCAAGAGACAAAGCCUCUACGUUUCUUGACAAGGACAUUUAAAUGCUGUCCUUAUUUGUACAGUGAGCUGAACACUGCUGCCCGAGAGCCACACAGGAUCAUAGAAAUGAAAAUGACAGAGACCCAGUCUCUAGAACUAAAGGGACAGCAACUGGGUGGAAGGAAGAGUGGAUGGAGAGUGACCUGGAAGGGUCUGCUGGAAUAACUGAUUCUGAGAAGCAAAGGGAGAUGCAAGGAAACAGAGGGCUGGGAGGAGACUCAGCACACAGCAAGAGGACCUGAGUCUAUCCCCACAACCAAUGGAACCAAGCCAUAGCCAGGCAGGCAUGGUGGCUCAGCAUGGGGACACAGGGAUGGUGUCUCAGUGGUGGUGGCUCAGCAUGGGGACACAGGGAUGGUGUCUCAGUGGUGGUGGCUCAGCAUGGGGACACAGGGAUGGUGUCUCAGUGGUGGUGGCUCAGCAUGGGGACACAGGGAUGGUGUCUCAGUGGUGGUGGCUCAGCAUGAGGACACAGGGAUGGUGUCUCAGUGGUGGUGGCUCAGACACUGAGGAAGUGCAGAGAAGCAGGUCCCUGGCUUUCUGGCCAGCCUCAGCUGAUCAGCGAGCUCAGCGAGGAGGCAGAGUUGACCUCAGGCCACCACACUCAACACGCACACACAAAGAAACACCUGAAUUUUAUACCUCCAGUUAUCAAAAAUCAAAUCUAUAGCUAGGAGAAAGAAAUUCCGACUUGAGUAGGAAAAGGCAGGACAUGAACUGGAAAAUGAGUAAAAUCCACAGCACAGGCAAACUUAGUUAUACUAAUAAGAGAAGACUCAAAUGACUGAGAUCAGCAAUGAAAUUUAAAAUCUAGACAGAACCACAAAGGAAACUGAACCAGUGACUAAAAACACAAACAGGGCAGUGAGAUGGCUCAGCAGGGAAAGACCAGAAGUUCAAGAGCACCCCUGGCCAUGUAGCUUGAGGACAGCCUUGGGUUAAUGAGGCCCUGUCUCCAUCAAUCAAUCAAUCAAUCAAUCAAUCAAUCAAUCAAGAAAGGAACUUAGCUUAAUUUGUGGAAGCUGUCUACAGAGGUCCUGUGGUGUCCUCAGGGGCUCUGGGCCCAUAAGCUCAUGGAACCCCGGCUUCUGCAGCUUAAUAUCUUUGUGUUAGGGCUAGCUCCUCCUGAGAGCAGAGAGAAGCCAUUUGGAUGUUCCAGAACCAUCCAGAUGUCAGCAUCACUUUCGCAAUCUGGAUCUCUCGUUUGAGAUGUUGCCCAAGCCAACAUAAGGCUGCCAAAGAUGUCAAGCUCUUCACCUUCUACCCCAAUCCUAGUUCCGGGGUGAGGUCAAGGCUCUUGGCUGGAAGAGAACCAUCAGUGCAGAAUGCCAGAAAACCAGAGAGGAAAACAACCCUUGCUGCCAAGCGCAGAAGGGAAGAGCUGAGGGCUGGCCCCGCUUUCCCAGCCUCCCUGGGGCUGAGGGACUCCCAGCUGGCCCAGGGAAUUCAUUCUCCAAGUUCACUGGGAGGCAGCCAGGCCAAGGGACACCCCUCCGGAAGACACGCCAUACCAGACCCACACCAGCACAAGUUACUGCUUCACUCACCCAGCAACUGUUUCUGCAGCCUGAGCCUCAGAGUGACCGUGACCAGGUGGAUAUGAUGUUCCCUGGCACAAGCUUCCCCCGCCACCCUGGAGGGGACUGGUGGCCUCCAGACUGGUUAGGGACCUUCCUUCUCCAGGAUAUUUCUCAGGCAUAGGGAGAAGGCUCCUUUUCAACAUUGAUGCCAACGUCGAGCUUGAGCCACUAGACAGCAGGGUUUUUUGUUGUUGCUCAUUUCUCUUGGAAACGGGCUUUUUUCUUAAGUUUUUAACUGCAAAAUAAAACUGCAAUUCAGGAGCCUAUGGGAUUGGUUGCUGGGGUUGACUGGUCCUUGUACCAACCAGAGAAGCAGAGGCUUUGAUGACUAUGAGCCUGCCUACCAGGAGGGGGCACCUUUGAGCCCUUUCUACACUGGCUUUGCACAGGUUAGGGCUAGUACCUUGCUGCUCAGUCUUUGAACAGGGCUGGGUUUGUGUCACCUAGGCAGGAGGGCAAGCACUAGACUCACGGGGUGCACGACAGAUGUCUAGGAACAAGAACUCCGGAACAGAGGAAAGUGAGGCCAGUUCUGUUUACCCCACAGAGCAGCAGUUCUCAACCUUCCUAACGCUGCAACCCUUUAAUAACAAUUCCUCAUGAUGUGGUGACCCCC
rnacentral:sRNA from 1 species